rnacentral:rRNA from 1 species
UGAACUCGGCAAAUUAACACCGUAACUUCGGGAGAAGGUGUGCCCUUGUAGGGUGAAGUCCCUUGCGGAUGGAGCUCGAAAGGGUUGCAGUGAAAAGGUGGCUGCGACUGUUUAUUAAAAACACAGCACUCUGCAAACACGAAAGUGGACGUAUAGGGUGUGACGCCUGCCCGGUGCUGGAAGAUUAAGUGAUGGGGUGCAAGCUCUUGGCUGAAGUCCCAGUAAACGGCGGCCGUAACUAUAACGGUCCUAAGGUAGCGAAUUUCCUUGUCGGGUAAGUUCCGACCCGCACGAAUGGCGUAACGAUGGCCACACUGUCUCCUCCUGAGACUCAGCGAAGUUGAAAUGUUUGUGAAGAUGCAAUCUCCCCGCUGCUAGACGGAAAGACCCCGUGAACCUUUACUGUAGCUUUGCAUUGGACUUUGAACAGACUUGUGUAGGAUAGGUGGGAGGCUUUGAAGUGGGAACGCCAUUUCUCAUGGAGCCGUCCUUGAAAUACCACCCUGGUGUGUUUGAGGUUCUAACCUGGGUCCGUCAUCCGGAUCGGGGACCGUGCAUGGUAGGCAGUUUGACUGGGGCGGUCUCCUCCCAAAGUGUAACGGAGGAGCUCGAAGGUCGCCUAGGUACGGUCGGACAUCGUACUGAUAGUGUAAUGGCAUAAGGCGGCUUAACUGCGAGACCGACAAGUCGAGCAGGUGCGAAAGCAGGACAUAGUGAUCCGGUGGUUCUGUAUGGAAGGGCCAUCGCUCAACGGAUAAAAGGUACUCCGGGGAUAACAGGCUGAUACCGCCCAAGAGUUCACAUCGACGGCGGUGUUUGGCACCUCGAUGUCGGCUCAUCACAUCCUGGGGCUGUAGCCGGUCCCAAGGGUAUGGCUGUUCGCCAUUUAAAGUGGUACGUGAGCUGGGUUUAAAACGUCGUGAGACAGUUUGGUCCCUAUCUGCAGUGGGCGUUGGAAGUUUGAGGGGGGCUGCUCCUAGUACGAGAGGACCGGAGUGGACGAACCUCUGGUGUACCGGUUAUGACGCCAGUCGUAUCGCCGGGUAGCUAAGUUCGGAAGAGAUAACCGCUGAAAGCAUCUAAGCGGGAAACUUGCCUCAAGAUGAGACUUCCCUGGCAGCUUGACUGCCCUGAAGGGUCGUGGAAGACCACCACGUUGAUAGGUCGGGUGUGGAAGCGCAGUAAUGCGUUAAGCUAACCGAUACUAAUUGCCCGUGCGGCUUGAUCCC